UUAGGAAUAUUGGGCAAUGGAGGAAACUCUGACCCAGCAACGCCGCGUGAAGGAAGAAGGUUUUCGGAUUGUAAACUUCUGAUCUAGAGGAAGAAGGAAGUGACGGUACUCUAGGAGAAAGCCACGGCUAACUACGUGCCAGCAGCCGCGGUAAUACGUAGGUGGCGAGCGUUGUCCGGAAUAACUGGGCGUAAAGGGAGCGUAGGUGGUAAUUUAAGUUAAAUGUGAAAGCCCAGGGCUCAACUCUGGAAUUGCAUUUAAUACUGGGUUACUAGAGUGCAGGAGGGGUAAACGGAAUUUCUAGUGUAGCGGUGAAAUGCGUAGAUAUUAGGAAGAACACCGGAGGCGAAGGCGGUUUACUGGACUGCAACUGACACUGAGGCUCGAAAGCGUGGGGAGCAAACAGG
rnacentral:rRNA from 1 species